UACAGAGGUCUCAAGCGUUGUUCGGAUUCAUUGGGCGUAAGGGGUGCGUAGGCGGCGCGGUAAGUCGGAUGUGAAAUCUCGGAGCUUAACUCCGAAACUGCAUUCGAUACUGCCGUGCUUGAGGACUGGAGAGGAGACUGGAAUUUACGGUGUAGCGGUGAAAUGCGUAGAUAUCGUAAGGAAGACCAGUGGCGAAGGCGGGUCUCUGGACAGUUCCUGACGCUGAGGCACGAAGGCCAGGGGAGCAAACGGG
rnacentral:rRNA from 1 species